rnacentral:rRNA from 1 species
AACGCUAGCUACAGGCUUAACACAUGCAAGUCGAGGGGCAGCAUAAAAGUAGCAAUACUUUGGUGGCGACCGGCGCACGGGUGAGUAACGCGUAUGCAACCUACCUAUCAGAGGGGGAUAACCCGGCGAAAGUCGGACUAAUACCGCAUAAAACAGGGGCACCGCAUGGUGAUAUUUGUUAAAAAUUUAUUGCUGAUAGAUGGGCAUGCGUUCCAUUAGGUAGUUGGAGAGGUAACGGCUCACCAAGCCCACGAUGGAUAGGGGAACUGAGAGGUUGGUCCCCCACACUGGUACUGAGACACGGACCAGACUCCUACGGGAGGCAGCAGUGAGGAAUAUUGGUCAAUGGGCGAGAGCCUGAACCAGCCAAGUCGCGUGAAGGAAGAAGGAUCUAUGGUUCGUAAACUUCUUUUGCAGGGGAAUAAAGUGCAGGACGUGUCCUGUUUUGUAUGUACCCUGAGAAUAAGGAUCGGCUAACUCCGUGCCAGCAGCCGCGGUAAUACGGAGGAUCCGAGCGUUAUCCGGAUUUAUUGGGUUUAAAGGGUGCGUAGGUGGUUUAAUAAGUCAGCGGUGAAAGUUUGCAGCUUAACUGUAAAAAUGCCAUUGAAACUGUUAGACUUGAGUGUAAAUGAGGUAGGCGGAAUGCGUGGUGUAGCGGUGAAAUGCUUAGAUAUCACGAAGAACUCCGAUUG